UAAAUUUUAUUUUUUAAUUGUAGAAUUAAAUACUUAAUAUUGGUUUACAAUUUAUUAUCGGUUUACACAUUAAACCAUAGAAACAAUAAACCAUAGAAACUUAAACCAAAAAAAAUAAUUAAUACACAUUAAACCAAACCUAAUUAACCUAAACCUAGUUAAUCAAUAACUAAACCUAAGCAGCCUCCAUCACGUGCCUCUUCUCCGCCUCCUCUGUCCUCUCUGCCUCCUC
rnacentral:lncRNA from 1 species